GGAGGGUUUUGAAAGUAAGGAAGGAAUUUUGAUACUUUCUGUUAUUAACUGCUGUUUUCCGUAGGAGGAAACAACCAACCAAACAGCCACUUUUCAAGGCAACGGGAGGCUUGAUUUCAUGAGACACUGUAAUUCACGUCACAAGACAGAAAUAUCUACUAAAGGUCAAGACGUCGUGGUACUAACAGGCUCUGAGUUGGAG